rnacentral:tRNA from 1 species
GGCUUGUUAGCUCAACUGGUAGAGCGCUGCACUUGUAUCGCAGAGGUCAGUGGUUCGAGUCCCGUACAGGCCU